rnacentral:misc_RNA from 1 species
GGAAAAUACCGCAAGAAACCAAACAUAGCAGAGACAGUGAGUGGAAGCCAAAGAAUAAGAGGGGGAGAAAAGAAAUGACGACGGAGGGAGAGGUGGUUUGCGUCACCGGAGGAAGCGGUUGCAUCGGUUCUUGGUUGGUACGUCUCCUUCUCGAACGCGGCUACACCGUUCACGCCACCGUCAAAAAUCUCAAGGAUGAGAAAGAAACGAAGCAUCUACAAGCCAUGGAAGGAGCAGACUUGCGUCUUCGUCUUUACCAAAUCGACCUCCUUGUCUAUGACUCCAUUCUCGCCGCUAUCGACGGCUGUGCAGGCGUAUUCCACCUGGCCUCUCCCUGCAUCGUUGAUAAAGUCCAAGAUCCUCAAAAGGAGCUUCUGGAUCCAGCAAUUAAAGGGACCCAGAAUGUACUUAUGGCGGCCAAGGAGAAAGGGGUGGGGCGCGUGGUGGUCACGUCAUCCAUAUCUGCUAUAACGCCGAGCCCUCAGUGGCCAGCAGACGUUGUCAAGGCAGAGGAUUGCUGGACAGAUAUUGACUACUGCAAGCAAAAUGAAUUAUGGUAUCCACUGUCCAAAACACUGGCUGAGAAAGUUGCAUGGGAAUUUUCCAAGGAGAAAGGUUUGGAUGUGGUGGUGGUAAACCCUGGUACGGUGAUGGGCCCUGUUAUCCCACCAACCCUGAAUGCAAG